rnacentral:rRNA from 1 species
UACGUAGGGUGCAAGCGUUAAUCGGAAUUACUGGGCGUAAAGCGUGCGCAGGCGGCUUUGCAAGACAGAUGUGAAAUCCCCGGGCUUAACCUGGGAACUGCAUUUGUGACUGCAUCGCUGGAGUGCGGCAGAGGGGGAUGGAAUUCCGCGUGUAGCAGUGAAAUGCGUAGAUAUGCGGAGGAACACCGAUGGCGAAGGCAAUCCCCUGGGCCUGCACUGACGCUCAGGCACGAAAGCGUGGGGAGCAAACAGG